rnacentral:rRNA from 1 species
UCCAGACUCCUACGGGAGGCAGCAGUGGGGAAUAUUGCACAAUGGGGGAAACCCUGAUGCAGCGACGCCGCGUGAGUGAAGAAGUAUUUCGGUAUGUAAAGCCCUAUCGGCAGGGAAGAAGAAAGACGGUACCUGACUAAGAAGCCCCGGCUAACUACGUGCCAGCAGCCGCGGUAAUACGUAGGGGGCGAGCGUUAUCCGGAUUCACUGGGUGUAAAGGGAGCGUAGACGGCCAAGCAAGCCAGGGGUGAAAGCCCGGGGCCCAACCCCGGGACUGCCCUUGGAACUGCAUGGCUGGAGUGCGGGAGGGGCAGGCGGAAUUCCUGGUGUAGCGGUGAAAUGCGUAGAUAUCAGGAGGAACACCGGCGGCGAAGGCGGCCUGCUGGACCGCGACUGACGUUGAGGCUCGAAAGCGUGGGGAGCAAACAGGAUUAGAUACCCCAGUA